ACGCUCGACACCUACGGGGGCAGCAGUAGGGAAUCUUCCACAAUGGGCGCAAGCCUGAUGGAGCAACACCGCGUGAGUGAAGAAGGGUUUCGGCUCGUAAAGCUCUGUUGUUGGAGAAGAACGUGCGUGAGAGUAACUGUUCACGCAGUGACGGUAUCCAACCAGAAAGUCACGGCUAACUACGUGCCAACAGCCGCGGUAAUCUGAGCGGCUGGCAAGGC
rnacentral:rRNA from 1 species